rnacentral:lncRNA from 1 species
AAUUUCAUAAUGUUUAGGAAGACUUCCUUGAAUUUAAGAAGGUCUUCCACAAUAACCUGCAGUCAAACUUCCACUCAAUUGCUAUCUUUUUAUUGUCAUCAUCGGUUGUGCUCUAUACUUGAAUCAUCAAUCAUUUGAGUGUAAUGCCCUUGAAUUAACUAAUAACGUUCCUUGAAUUUUCUCUUUAUAAAUGUACCAUCAACAUCAAUCAUUGUUCUCAUCAUCUUAGCUUCUUCUAAACAUUUUUUUCGAUAAAUUAUUGCCUCAAGGUAUACAUUGCAUCUCUCUACAUUGACAAUCCAUCUUUACAAUAAUAACACUAGGAAGCAAUCACUACAAACGUUUCUGAAGAUGGUCACAGAUUCAACAUGAAGCUUUAAAGGAAGUGAUAAUGGUCACAAACCUCCAGCAACAACGUCUUCCUCAUAACGCCAAAUAAGAGCAAUCUCUAGAGGUUCAUUAGUCAUGUCUUUGAAUGCUCUGCUUUGGUUGAGUUUUAUCCAAGGAAACGCAUCACUGUCCCCAUCUCCUUAGUGGUAAUGCAACAUAGAAAAUGAAAUCAAGGAUUAGAAAAAGUGAAUCAAACUAGUGUCGCUCUAUUAAUCUUGAACAGAACAAUUAAAUUGAAUUAUCUAUAAUUAUGGAACUCAAAACAUAUAACAAGCAUGUCUCUGUAAAGAAGAAUCUAAAGCUUGAAACCAAGAUCCAACAAUAGCAAAAUCAUAUGCAUUCACAAAAACGUUUGAAAGAGUUGAAGGAUAAGAAAACAAUAUACGAUCACCAUCUUUAUCAAUAAGAUUCUUAAUCAGAGAUAUGAUCAAUGAACAAUUAUGUUGAGAUGCGAUUAGAAUUGAGAUCGAAACGAUUCAAUUCACAAAACGAUGAUGUCAGAGGAAGAUAUAGGAAGAUGAUGGUGAGGAUUGACGAUACCAAAUAGACGAUGAUAAUGAAGGAAGAUGACCUUACAGUCAAGAUGAAAGUGACGACGUGAGAGGAAGACUGAGACGACGUACAUGACGGAGACAACGUACACGACAAAGAUGGUGUCCUAGCUAGACGAAACCACCAGACCUCGCUGGAAACAACGUCGGAGUAUGACGACAGAUCUCGGCGGACAAAGAUGGGACGAUCGAUCUCGGUAAACCCAAAAAACUUCAUCCAUUUUGUGUUCAUACCACAUGGAUAUAAUGGUCUUUUUAAUUAUUCAUUAUUGGUAUUAUUAAUAAAUUAAGGAGUGUAUGGUAUUUUAGGAGCUAAAAUUUUUUU